CGAUAUCGACGUAGUUGAUCCGUGGCUCAGAGCGAACGUUUGCGGCGGGCUUAACACAUGCAAGUCGAACGGGCUGUUCCUUCGGGGGCAGUCAGUGGCGCACGGGUGCGUAACACGUAGGUAAUCAACCCUCUGGUUGGGGAUAACACUUCGAAAGGAGUGCUAAUACCCGGUAUGGCGCAGCGGUCUUCGGAUCGCGGCGAGAAAGACCCGCAAGGGUUGCCAGAGGACGAGCCUGCGGCCCAUCAGCUAGUUGGCGAGGUAACGGCUCACCAAGGCGAAGACGGGUAGCUGGUCUGAGAGGAUGAUCAGCCACACUGGGACUGAGACACGGCCCAGACUCCUACGGGAGGCAGCAGUGGGGAAUAUUGGACAAUGGGCGAAAGCCUGAUCCAGCAAUGCCGCGUGAGUGAUGAAGGCCUUAGGGUUGUAAAGCUCUUUUACCAGGGAUGAUAAUGACAGUACCUGGAGAAUAAGCUCCGGCUAACUCCGUG
rnacentral:rRNA from 1 species